CUCUGGCUGACAAGUCCCAAACAAGAUGAAACGCGCGUCCUGGAU
rfam:Schistosoma curassoni strain Dakar, Senegal genome assembly, scaffold: SCTD_scaffold0005865